ACUUGGAGGAAUGUUUUCCCUUUGACCAUCCAGACCCUGACGAAUUGAAAAAAAGUCCUACUUUUAAUUUUAAAAAACCGCAUUCUGGUUUUUCAGCGCAUUGCAAACAAAAACAGAAGAAUUCUGCAGCAGCCUUGUGCAUGGGCGUUGGAAGCCUAUCGGAACCUGACAACAUUCCUGGAUUGGCUCACUUUUUGGAGCACAUGCUUUUUAUGGGAACCGAACUAUAUCCGGACGAAAAUUCGUUUUCUCAAUACAUACAAAAACACGGCGGAUCGAGCAACGCCUCAACGGACUGCGAGGAGACUGUGUUUCAUUUUGAUUGUCAAACAAGCCACUUUCCAGAAGCUCUAAAACAGUUUGCACAGUUUUUUAUAUCCCCGCUGCUAAAAAGAGACUGUUUGGAAAGAGAAAUGGAAGCGGUGG